UUCUUACUUUAAUUCCCUGAAUCAAAACUUUUAUCAUCUACAUGUCUUUGAAUCAAUCUUAUUUUACGAUUCACUUUAUCACUGUUAUUGUAUAAAAUUUUACAUUUCAAUCUGAUAACCUUUACAUAUCAGAUAACUCUAACUUUAGUUUUACAACUCAACAUAAAACUAUACAUCAUAAAACAUUUAGUACAUCUCAUGAAUCUUAAUCAUGGUAUAAAGGAAUAACAACUUUAGCUAAAAUGUUAAUCUUCGUGUAUUAUUUCUGAUCCACGUCAUUCAAGUAGCACAUAGUGUUACCUUCAAUUCUUAACCUGCAAAAAUGGUUAUUU
rnacentral:lncRNA from 1 species